UUCUACCUGCUCUGCUGCCACCUCAAGGCUCGGAAGAGAGUGGGUUAUGAUUAUGUUGAAUCGUGAUGAUUAAAUUCACUGGUGGACUGUCCACACACCUGUUUAGGGUGUUUCUCCGUUAAUACCGAGGCGCUGGAAGGGGCUCCUGCAAUCCCGACUUCCCGAGACGCUACAACAGGCCGAAGAGGAAUGCACUGAUGUGUGGUUUAAAUCAGGUGAACUCGCGCAGGUUAACAGUUUGGCCUUAUAAAGUUUUUGUAAAGUACUUAUUUUCCAAGGAGACUGCCUGUCUUGAACUUGAAAAAUAUGAGACGUGAUUUGUGAAGGAGCAGCGAAAAAUCAGAGUCUUACCACAGGAGGGCAGGAAUUCCUUGAGUACUGGACAGACUGCGACACAGUCUGCAUGCAUAUUGAUAAUUCUGCAGCUAACACUGGAUCCGAUCUGCUGAGUCCACAGUCACCGCAGUAAACAGGUUUCUGUCUGUUGGAUGUGAGGGAUUGGCAAUGAGCUGGCAUUCUGUCAUUCCCUUACUUUACACCCCAGAGACCUCAGAGGAGAGAGGGACUGGGGCUGUUUGGGUGGAGAAGACUUCAAGCAGCUGGAUGAUGGCGCUCUUUCCCUAAGCAUUCCCUCUCUGAUGCCAUAUUUUUCUUUCAUGACGUCCCUCUUAAAAUCACGCUUAACAGACUCUGCUGUUUUAUCCAGGUUAUAUCUUUUCCUUUUCCUAGAAAUUUCCUUUGAAAGUCAUGCCUUAACCUGUGACUGGUCAAGGUCGACUUGAUCUAAUGCAUUAAAUGAAAGAGCUGCACAUGGUGAGCUUGUGAACAUGUACACUACCGUUUAAAGGUACUAGACUAAAGAACUGACUGAGGAACACGAUGUAGAUAAGUGCUUUUGAACUGGCUUUGCUUCAGGAUGUAGAAUUUCAUUGGAACUCAAGUGCUGA